GAUCCCUAUGCGCAGGUGUCAGUAGGUGUGUGUGUCGGAGUGGAGAGAAGCGCCAUUUAUGAGGAACAGAGUGAGAGUUCACUCGUGUUGUUUGAGUGAGUUCGUUGGGCAGUUGAAAUAUUCAACUGUUGCACCGAACUUGUGUUUCUCCGUGUGCAAGAGAUCUUCAUGGGGCGAGUUUGAAGAGGCCUCCGUGACGGAGAUUGAGCAGGGGAGAAGCGAGACACGCGAGCGUACGCGUGAAUUAUUAGUCACGUGACUGUUCCUGUUCGGUGCAGCGCUUCAUAAACCCUGAGGCUGCAGCCUGGAGAUGCUCUGCUCUUUAAACUUGGGGCUGAUGUUCGCUGUCAUCUAGGAUGGACAGAACAAGCCUUUGAGGACUACAUGACUGCAGUUGAGCUUCAAGAAUCUAAAGGACUCUAGACACAUAGAGUGCUCAAAAUAAGAGUUGUUUUUGAUCAUUAAGACAUAACUUAUUAAAGGUAUAACAACAGAAGAACUACAAUGAAAAGAUGUCACAUUUACUGGUUUCAUUUUCAACUAGAUUAGCAAUUCCUGAAGGAAAUACCACUGCUUGAAAGACAGAAAAAAACAGUGUUGUAAGGUUUUAAGUUAGCUGAGGUUGGAGGCUUUAGUUCUGCAUUCAUGAAAUGCUGCAUCAGGGCCACUUUGCCCGUUAUCACGACACUUAAUGCACAAUGUGACAUAGUCUUUGCAUUAAAAAGGAGACAAUCUGGUCAAGUCGCUGCAAGAAAGAAAAGUCCAAUCCCAAUUAAUUAUGCAAAUAGAUAAGAAACAGGAUUGCAAUCUAAUUGGAAUUCAGAAUGCAAAUAUUAAUAAAUUGAUAAAAGUUAGAUAUUGAAUGGCAAACAUUCAAUCAAUGUAAUUCAAAAGGAGAUUUUUAAACAUUAGUCUUAAAUUCCAGUUUGAAAUGUAAUAAAAAAAAUAAGUAUGAAAUGUACAAAGUCAAGUCGUCAUUUUUAUUUGUAUAGUGCUUUUCACAACAAAGCAUUUCAAACAACUUUACAAAAAAUUUAGCUUUAACAGAAAAGGCUGUAAUAUAGUAAUGUCUUUUGAGUCAUAAUAGUGAGGUUUAAUAAAUAAAUAAAAUAACGAAAUAACUUACCACAUCUUGGACUGAAAUUUUGUACAAAACAAAGCUCAAGCUGAUAGAGUUGCAUACAUUUUAUAGAGGGAUAACUAGAAUGUUUCAGGAAUAUCAAUUCCAUGCAUUUUAUCUGUCAUAGCUGAAUAUUUUAUCACUUGGUGAAAUAUAUUUCCAUGUUUAGCAACAGUACUAGCUGUGAAACAUUGUUUAAUCAUUUUAGAUACUCAAUUUACUGACUAUAAUUAAGUCACAUCUUUAACUAAUGAAUGUCUAUUAAUAAACUAACCUGACCGCUCAACAUGAACAGCUGUAACUAUCUGAUGUUUAAUUUACAUUUACAUUUGCCUUGAACUUCUUCAAUCUGAUCAAUCUGAUCCCUUCACAUGACACUGAGCAGUCAAUGGU